rnacentral:lncRNA from 1 species
AAUAUCUAGGUUAGAAAAACUUCUUCAUCCACACCAUCCGACCCUACCACUCAUCACUCACCUAGUCCUGAUCAUGACCAGGACCACUACAUAGCUCCUCCCACUUUUUCUUCUACAUCUGGUCCAUCAUUCCCAUCCACUUCAGCUGGACCCUCUACUGCACCACCACCUCAGCAGCCCCUGGAAGUUCGGAUCAGCUCUGAGCAACUCCGGGAGAUGAGACAGG